UACGGGGGGGGUAAGCGUUGUUCGGAAUCACUGGGCGUAAAGGGCUCGUAGGCGGCCAACUAAGUCAGACGUGAAAUCCCUCAGCUUAACUGGGGAACUGCGUCUGAUACUGGAUGGCUUGGAUCCGGAAGAGGGAUGCGGAAUUCCAGGUGUAGCGGUGAAAUGCGUAGAUAUCGGGAGGAACACCGGUGGCGAAGGCGGUUCUCUGGGCCUUACCUGACGCUGAGGAGCGAAAGCGUGGGGAGCGAACAGG
rnacentral:rRNA from 1 species